rnacentral:ncRNA from 1 species
GAGAGCCGUAUACAUCGAGAGGUGUACGUACGGUUCGGAGGAGAGCGUUUGGAAACCUAUCAUAGCAAUAUGACAAGGCGCUGGGCGCUUAUCCUAC